UUUAAUUCUUUAUUUUAUUUGACAAAGUAUUUUAGAACAAGGCAAGAUGUUCCGUUUUAAGCAUAAACCGUGGUCAAGUAUAACAUAACAUAUUACAGCAUAGGCAUACAGUUGAUAAGCGUGGUAGACAUCAGAUGUUACAAUAAGUGCCUGUAGCACAGGACUCUUUAUUAGUGGGCUUGGACAUCAUUUUUGUGCUGUCAAUUUUUAUUGUAUAUUGAGUCAGUUACAGGUGGCCAGAGCGUGAAGGUGGGUUUCUGUAGGCAUUCGGUGGUGCCUAUCCUAGCGCUAUUGGAGGGUUUCGGGGUACCGUUGGGCGAUGAGAUAUCUCUUAAUGAUGCUGUGGAGUCUCCAACUAUGUUAGAUACAGGUGACGGCCCUUCUGACUUGUUCCAGCUGCAAAUUGUCCCCUGUAUUGUGGAGCCCGCGCUCAACUCCUGCUUUGUACUAGAUAAGGCUGAAAUACAUUUUGGCCUGACUGGGCCCCCCUCCACUCCCUGGCGCCUACCUGCCUGGCGUGUGAAUUCGUGCGUGUUUGCGCUGAUAGUUCGCUUCAGUGUGCUAUCAUUGCC